GUGCAUCUAUGGUUGUUCUCAUGUAUUCGCAUUUUCUUUUCCUGGGCUUAAUACCGCCGGCCACUUCCGAUUCCCCAUCCGUCCUUCUCUUUCUUUCUUCCUCUCUUCCUCUCCCUUUCUCUCUAGCUCGCUCUAGAAGCAUUCAUAGACCACAUCUCCGAGCUCACCGAGACCCCGACCCGCCGCAUCUGGGUCGUGGUGUCAUUCCUUGCUCCUCCACCUCCCCCGCCGGAGUCCUCGUCCCGCUCGCCGCGCCCGCAAAGGCGGACGGAGAGGUGGGCUAUGUGGACGGGGAGGGGAUCACGGGGAUCGGGGCGAUCUGGCUGAGAUCGAGGGUAGGGUGAGGUGAAUCUCCAAAAGGUCGCGUCGUCGUUGCUGCCGUUCGGGGAGGAGGAGCCGGACGAAGGGGAACCCGUCGCCUCGACGCGACCGGAGAAGUAGCUUGAUUUUCCGCUCUUCAUCAGCGAACGUUAUGCAGAUGGUUUCGUGGAGUUAGAUAAAGCGAUCUAUAGAAAAAUCAGUGCAAUAGCAUCAGCUCCAAGGCGAGAAAUAUACUUCUUUUCAGGAUUCGUGGUGUCUAUUUUGACUGGUACCAGUGUUCAUAAAUAAAGAUGUUGAAGAAUUCAUAAAAAGAAAAAAGAUGUUGAAGGAUUAUAUGGAUGUACGUAACAAAAAUACCUGAUGUUAAGCUGACUUGGGAGCUUAGCAGCUUAAUUGAACCAAAGGUUAAGCUGACUUGGGAGCUUAGCAACUUAAUUCAACCAAAGGUGUCUAGUAGUGGAACUGAUUUUGUUUGAUUGAACUGAAGACUUGGGAUUGUGUAGGAAUCACGUGGAGAUACAAGUGUAUUUAUAGCAUCAAUAAUACCUGCCUCCAAGUAGGUUUCGGUCUCAUGUGUGUAUCUAAGUAGGGUUCGGUCUCCUGUGUGUAUCCAAGUAGGAUUCGGUCUCUUGUCUGUAUCCAAGUAGGAUUCAGACUGCAGUAGGAUUCGAACUGUUGUAUGUAUCAGGCUAAGUACACGGAGGCGACGGCCACUUCGCCGCCGCUCCGGCGGCGAAGUCGACGGAGACGAUGACGGAUGGUCUUCAGGCGAAGUACGUGAAGGCGACGACCAAGUACGCGGAGACGACAUUGGUCUGUACGACGGCGAAGUCGACGGAUACAACGGCUGAUGAUCUUCGCGAAGUAUGCGGAGGCGACGUUGAUUUGUUGGUGUUCAGAACUUGUGAUCUAUUCCUCCACUGGAGGCUAUCUUUUUAUGACACCAAAGAUUAUGUAAGGCGAGCAAGCAUUUCGAGACAGAGGCCCCUUGUUCUGUUUUGUGUCCUUUUUUGCGUGCGUUUAAUAUUUGUUAGUAAAGCCAGAUCAAUCGACUUCAUGGACCGGCGCGAUUACUACCUGCCGGCCUUGAGGGCGCUUUAACUAAACCGGACUAUCAAUUUGAGCAGGAAUUGUGUA